rnacentral:rRNA from 1 species
UACGGAGGGGGCUAGCGUUGCUCGGAAUCACUGGGCGUAAAGCGCACGUAGGCGGAUUGUUAAGUCAGGGGUGAAAUCCUGGAGCUCAACUCCAGAACUGCCUUUGAUACUGGCGAUCUCGAGUCCGGGAGAGGUGAGUGGAACUGCGAGUGUAGAGGUGAAAUUCGUAGAUAUUCGCAAGAACACCAGUGGCGAAGGCGGCUCACUGGCCCGGUACCGACGCUGAGGUGCGAAAGCGUGGGGAGCAAACAGG